AAUCCCAGAGGAGCUUGGAAAUUUGAUAAACUCGGUGAGCUUGGAUCUUUCCUUGAAUGCUUUAACCGGGAACAUUCCAACUACUCUGGGCAAGCUUCCAAAACUACGUAUCCUGAGGCUUUAUAACAAUAACAUAUCUGGAAUAACCCCAGAGGAGCUUGGAAAUUUGAUAAACUUGGCGUCUCAACAACAACAAAUUGUCUGGACAAAUUCCUAGGUCCUUAACUACUCUUAAGUCACUGCAAGUGCUGUGAGUGGUGCUGUCAGAUUUUUUUUUGCAUUAGCCAGUUCAACCUUAACUUCUAGAA